GAUUUCCUGUGUCCUGGUAUCCAUGCAUCCCUUUUGGGCAUGGCUGCAUUCCCCAAGCCUGGUUUGCUCCUGAUGCUCUUGCUCACUGGGUUUCCUAACACCAGGGGAACAAAGCAGGGGAAGGCCAGGCUGUGAGCGGGUUUGGGAGCUGCGUGUGUGCUGAUGGCCAGGACUUCAGUGCUUCUCACCAUACUGACCUGUGUUACCCAAGGAUGGGGAUUGUUUCUCUGGAGAAGAACUUCAUUCCUUUCUCUUCUAGAGGAUGUGCCAUGUCCUUGCUGUGCAGUGUAACUCCUCUGCCCCGUGUCCCCCAGUGCUGGUGUAAAUCCUCUGGGAAUGCAGCAAGAGCAAUGAACUCAGUCCCAGCCCUGUUUUGCUGUGUUCCCUAAGGAUUGGCACAUGUCUCUCCAUUGGUGGAGAGGACGUUUGUUUUUGUGGUGAGCAGGGUACAUAGCAAAUCCUAGCAGCAGACCCUGGUAUGACAAAAUAGGCUUGAACUGACUCUUUCUGAUUCAGUCUCUGGUAGAAGCAUUUUUGAAAAAUGUCCCCACUGUCCCCAGAAUUUUCUGUGUGUACAGACAUCAGAGUGCAGUGAGUGGUUUAGCUGCCGGUGGUCUUUUCAGUGCUGUGCCAGUUAGCUGGGUUGCUAAGAGCCCAGACAUGUCACUUCUGCAUUUUUUCCCAGCGACAGAUGAAAGGAGUGGGAGAACUCCAAUUUGGGCAUGCCAGAGGAUGGGACUGCCAAGCAGCUUGUCUGGGGAGAAAAAAGAAAUACAGGCUGGCAGUGUCUCAUGUUGGUGGAAGAAAAAGACCUUUGUAACUCCUUUUCUUCUCAUCUCAUGUGCUUUUUGUUUAUUUUGCACAGUCACCAACCUGGAGGCAGCAGCAGAAGGACUGAAGGCUCACAGUGCUGCCACCACCUGUGCCUUCCCACAGCCCUGCCCCUGGUGCCAGAGCCCUGUGCAGUGUUGGUGCUUGGAGCCUGAUGGUUCCAGCCUGACACAGCCUCCUUGCACCCUGCAUGGGUGGCAAACCCACCCAUAUUUGAUUUGUUACGCUUCUUUUUCUGGUUGGAUGUGCCAUUGUGCAGGGCAAUGAAGCAUGUUUAAGGUGGUAUCUGUCGAAACAACCAUGAAACUCUUGUAUUCACGGGGCAUUUUAUUAGAAUCCUUCUAAUUUUAGCCUAAACCUAUUUUAUGGAUUUCACUUCAAAGUGUUAUUUAUAAAAAGAAUCACUGAAUCCUUAUAGGCUUAACAGUCAUGAGGUAAUCUUAGGAAAGUCAUUUAAUGAUGCUAAGGCAGCAAACAGUCCAAUAUGUUUAUGAAUUGGACCCCAUGUAAUUUUGAUCUUGUUGAAUUUGCGUACCCUGUCAUUCACAUUGGCUUGUUUAACUGUUCCUGCCCCCCUCUCCAGUAUAAUCCAGUCCCUUAGACCAUGUCAAUAGGGAUGUGCCAAGGCUCUAUGUCAUAGAGGGUUCAUUCUGUCUCCACAGGCUGCCCUUUCUCUGUCUCCAAGGCAAUAGAUGCAUUAAUGCACCCUCAGACAGUGGCCUGCCAUUAAAAUGCUCCUUUGUAAGUGCAUCUUUGGUAGCCUGGAGAGCUGACUACGUCAUGUGAACAUUUUUCACUGCCACAAAAAGCUGGGGGAAGAAAGAAUUUAAUUUUGUUUAGCUAGGAAUAAGUUGCCUUGAGCUAUUGGCACUCAUCUUUUCUUGGUGCAAACUUUUGUGUAGUCAAUUUCACAGUCCCAUCAUUAACAGUUCUCAUUUUCAAAGAGUUUAUAAUCUAAAUGGGCAGAUAGUCAAGCCUUUUCCUCAAGCAGGGAUAUUACUAUUCACUGCUUUAGAGCCUUGGUGCAGUCUUUUUGGCAUGAACAGUUGCCUUAAUGCUCUUGCAGGUAAAACUCAAUUAUCUCACUGUCUGACUCACAGAAACUUCCACAACUCUUAGGAGCUGGUGGAGAAAAAGUGAAAGCAUUCUGCUCCCUAGAUGAUAUCUGGAGAGAAGGUGUCCUGAGGAUGAGGCCUGCAGGUGCCAUGGGGUGUGCAUUUCUGCAGAGCCCAAAGGCCAGGCUGAGCACAACCUGAGCCCCCUGAGCUGGACUGUCCCUGGCAGCAGUGGUUCUGGGCUGGCUGCUGCUGGGCUCCUCUGGAGCAGGACUGUCCCUGGCAGCAGUGGUGGGUUUCUCUGUGCUGAAGCUGUUGGCUCCACAGGAGAGCCCUUUCCUGCCCAGCUGGAUCACUCCCACUGGCCUCAUGGUCUGCACAUGACAAAGCAUUGAUGCAAUUCAGGACAUUCAUCCCCGGGCAGCUUCACUAAAAUACAAUCCUGUUUGACAGAUGUACUCCAGCACAUCUUUUUGAGAGCCCCUAUGCCAGCUCCUCUUGCUUUUGUUUGGGGCUUGGCCUUUGCUGGUGAAGCUCCUUCCAGGUGUUCACCUGAGUUUCUGAUUUAUCUCCUUUGUGUUCUGUGGAAAGUCAGGCUGCAGCAUUCAGGAACAAUGGUACGAUUAUGUAAGAGCUCUUUUUCCCUUUCAGAGAGGACAGAGUGAAAAUCUCCAGGGAUAUCUGUUUGUCUUUUGGCAGUGCUUGGCAAAUGCUUAAACACUGUUCAAUAUUAAACAAUCUUGCUUGGGACUGGCAUUUAAGAAGUAACAAAAUUAUGUUUGGUGCUGUUCUCUCAACUAACAUCUCUUAGGUGCUGUUGCAAAGACCUGGGGCAUGGUUGAGAGGGAGAAACCAUUUUAAUUCUUGCAGAGAAUAAAUUUAUCUAUCAUGAAUUGAAGAAUCAGCUAUGUAUGAGGAGAAUUUUUGGGAUGGCAAGUAUUUGAGGGGGCAUUUAAUACUAAAAUGCUGAUCAGAAGCCUUAGGCAGUGUAAGGAAUGUGCAGGGACAUUAGUGAUGAAUGGGUCUGUGCUGGGUGUGCACUGCAGGGUUGUGCUCCACAAGGUGACAGAUCACACACAUCCAGCAGUGCAGCUGACCAAGGAUCUCCAUGGGACAUCCACUUAAUUGUGCUUUAAACAAAUCACAUUAUUGGUCUAUUGGAUGAAUCCAACCCCUUCUUUGUGGUAAGCUAAGAAGCACACAUGAGUUAUUACAGUGGAAAGUGCUUUAAAAACACUAAUUGACUUUGUGUCAAGGGGCCUGAUUGUACAUCUCUGAACGAAUUCAAUUAAACGGUGUAGGUGGUUUUAUUUUGGAUCUUAGCCAGUUUUGCUUCCAGCUCUCAUUUGGGGGAUAUUUUUUAACCUUAUUGAACUUAAAGAACAAACAACAAUUUUCUGUUGCUCUAGGCAUUUUCUUCCUUAAAAUUUUCCUUUUCUAAAUACCGAAGCAAAUUUUUACAGGGCUGGUUUGCACCACUUUGCACUGGUGUUUCUGAAUAGAAAUUUGUGAUUUUAUUUUUGAGAUUUAAAAAUAGUUUCUUAUUUAUUUUGGUUAUUUCAGGGAAGAAAUUUCACAGGAAAUCAAUAGUUUUAAAGUACAUUUGCAUUUUACCAGCAGAAAGUUAAAACAUUAAUUGUUGUUUAAUAAACUUCAUCUGAAUGACAGAUAUGAUAAAAGCAAAGAUGAAUAUUUCUGUGUUCUGAAACAAUGUUCCUUCUCCCUCUGCACCCAGAUGUUUUCUCCUAACAGUUUAUUCUUUCUUUUUCUCUAUGUAAAUAUUAUGGGACUCUGAUGGGAAAGAAGCUGAUGGCCAUCGUAUAAUAAAUAUCUGUUCUCCUGUGCUUAUUAAGUGGUGUGCAAACCUCUUUAUGUGAAUGAUCCCCUGGAAAGGCUUAACUUUGGAGAGACUUCACCUUCCAUUACAAUAAUACAAUACCUCACUCUU